CGGGAAGAGCCACAAGUGCCGCAGCCGUUGACGUUGGGUGGAACCGCAUGAAACUGACGGUGGUGGCUCUCGCCGGAAGAACGACAACCCCGGACCAACACUGGCGAGCUGCUGAUUCGUCAGAGUAAAUAUGGAAGUUGGCCCGUGGUUACGAAUCAAGCAGCACGACGGUACUAUUACACAGAAAAGCAGGUGACAACACGCUGGGGCGAUGACGUUUACGUCGCAGCUGCGCACUGGCAGAACUGCAGGAGGCGCUCGAAGCAGUCGGUCAGGUCCACGCUAGAUGUUGCUAGCAAAUGUGGGUUCAGAGGAGGGCGGCAUCACA